rnacentral:misc_RNA from 1 species
GAUGAAGAACGUAGCGAAAUGCGAUAAGUAAUGUGAAUUGCAGAAUUCAGUGAAUCAUCGAAUCUUUGAACGCACAUUGCGCCCGUCAGUAUUCUAGCGGGCAUGCCUGUUCGAGCGUCAUUACGCCCCUCAAGUCCCCUGUGGACUUGGUGUUGGGGAUCGGCGAGGCUGGUUUUCCAGCACAGCCGUCCCUUAAAUUAAUUGGCGGUCUCGCCGUGGCCCUCCUCUGCGCAGUAGUAAAACACUCGCAACAGGAGCCCGGCGCGGUCCACUGCCGUAAAACCCCCCAACUUUUUAUAGUUGACCUCGAAUCAGGUAGGACUACCCGCUGAACUUAAGCAUAUCAAUAAGGCGGAGGA